CCUACGGGUGGCAGCAGUGAGGAAUAUUGGUCAAUGGACGUAAGCCUGAACCAGCCAAGUCGCGUGAGGGAUGAAGGUCCUAUGGAUUGUAAACCUCUUUUGUCAGGGAAUAAAGUGAGGCACGUGUGCCUUUUUGUAUGUACCUUAAGAAUAAGCAUCGGCUAACUCCGUGCCAGCAGCCGCGGUAAUACGGAGGAUUCGAGCGUUAUCCGGAUUUAUUGGGUUUACAGGGUGCGGAGGGGGCCUUGUAAGUCAGCGGGUAAAGGCUGGGGCCCAACCCUAGUCUGGCCGUUGAAACUGGGUGUCUUGAGGAUGCGAGAGGUAGGCGGAAUGCGUGGUGUAGCGGUGAAAUGCUUAGAUAUCACGCAGAACCCCGAUUGCGAAGGCAGCAUGCC
rnacentral:rRNA from 1 species